CAUGCGCAGUUGCCCCUGACCCCAUGUUUGAAUGAGGCGGUCAAAUCUCAAACAAGCGGGACGAGACAUACUGCUGCAUAGUGUCACGGCUUUGAUUUCUGAAGACAGAAACCUAGCUAUGCAUUGGAAGUAUUCUGGCAGAGUUCUGUCGCUUGUCAAGCAAAAACUUGAAUACAGAAUUCUUCAAAGAACUUGACAAAUACACUCCUCGCUUCUUUGAGAUCUUCAAGACCAAGGGGGGAAGUGUUGGCCAGAAACUUAAGAAUUAUCUGCAACAAGUCACACCGGAGAGUACAGAUGUUACUGCAAAGCGAACAGCUGUCCUCCGUGGCCUUCCUGUCAUCCUUGGAGAUGAGAACACAGACUUCUUCAAGACAUGCUUUGACUGCGAUGACACAGGCAUGUCUCACACCCCCAUUGGAAUCCUGACCAUUGUUCCUGAGGACGAACAGCUCUCCCUUGACUCACUGCACCUUCAGACUUCAGGUACCGCAAUCAUUUUGGAAGGAAGAAUUGUGAUGGAUGACCUUGAAAAUCUUCCACAUGCCAUGUGCUUGCUCUUUGGACUUACUUACGCCCUGAAUUUGGAGUACCCUCAACAGCUGAAGUACACCUUUGACUUCAUUCAAAGGGUGCUUCUCUCACUUGGACAUAAUUCCCUAAAACCAAAAAUACAAUCACUCAAAAAUCUUCUGAUGCAAUGAGUGAAUGUAAUCAUGAUGUGAAUGUGAUGUGACAUCUUGGGUCACAUUGAUACCUUUUCCCUUAUUGGAAAAGUGAUAUUUUUUUCUUGUUUGAGCCUUUUUUGUGGGAAGGAGCCUCAUCGCCCUUUUUAGACUACUGAAUGGUUUUUAUGUUCAUGAGGAGAAAAAUGAACACCUAUAGCUUUUGUUUUUCCUUUUGUGUUGAUGCUGAAAUGAUUGUGGUGAUAUUGAUUACCAGCAUCAGGUUCUUUAGCAAGUUAUCUCUGACUUAAUAUAUGUUGUAAGUCAAUCUCUACUGCAGUUCUAAACUCAACCACUAAGAAUUUAAAUCAGAAAGCUUUUAGCAGUUUUUAGCGGGAGCUGGCUCAAACAUAAGAAUUACAGUUGCACAUUCAGUUGAAAUAAUGAUUUUGUUUUGCAAUCAUGCAAUAGGUGGAUUGUAAACAGUUGAGCUAUGUCUGCUGUUCACUUUAUUGAUGUUAAGAUAAAUGUUAGGCCCUGCAAUUACUGAGUUUAUCUAUAGUUCACACCAUAUUCAACAGAGAUAUUAAGCAGGAAUUCUCAAAGUUUUAAUGACUGAGGGCUGUUUUAGGGACUCAAUAUUAGAUUGAAAGCCACCCAAGAAAAAAGUCGUGUCACUUUUUUCCUGAAAAAGUUAGUCUUUUAUAUUACAUGCUUUUUAUGUAAUACAAAAAAAAAAAAAUAA